rnacentral:misc_RNA from 1 species
UUUAGUUUGAUACGACUUGUAACGUUGAUUUUAACUCGGUGAUCUCUGUACCGAUUUAUAAUGCAAAACCGAAAAGCAGUGGCAGUAAUCGGUUCUGUGGCUUCUUGGGGAGCGUUUGCUGUAGGAUGCAUAUAUGCCGCUCCAGUUUUAGUUGGUGCUGCGGCCGUUGGUGAAGUUUUCACUUUGGUAACUGCGGCUUGCAUGGACGAUGACAAGGACNAUGACAAGGACGAUGACAAGGAGACAAUUUUCUAUCAUUACACCGAUAAACAGGGUGCAGAAGGGAUUAGGAAAAGUGGUAAAAUCACGGAAUCCUCAAAUACACAAACAGACGCAGCUCUUGGACAAGGUGUCUACGUUACCACUUUGACACCAGAGACANUCGACAAGGAACUUCUGAAGAACAACUACGACAGCGGUUGGAAAGAAAGAGAUACAAAUAAUGUGUCAUACUAUGUCAAGUUNGUGUCUCGUGGUAGCCGNACGACAAAAAAAAGAUUCAAGACAAACAAAUCGUUGAGACGUGACGUGUACGUGCAUCAGGGUGACAUUGUGCUGAAAGAAUACAAUGGAGAAAUCGUUCAGAGAAUUUUCAAGUCAGAGUCAAAUUGUCCGUUAAUCUUUUUCGUCGUGUCUGUUAUUGUUCUUUUGUUUGCAGUUUUUGUAUUUCUUAUUCGUUAAGCCGGGAUAUCGAACUUUAAACAGGGUACACAAACUCACCCUGACCAACCCAGCCCCUUUGGUUACUGUUAUUAAAUUAUCAUUGUAUAUUACCCUGACCAACCCAGCCCCUUUGGUUACUGACCCUCACCAACCAAGCCCCUUUGGUUAAUAUUGUUAGAUUAUCAUUGUAUCUCACCCUCACCAACCAAGCCCAUUUGGUUAAUAUUGUUAGAUUAUCAUUGUAUAACGUCCCUCCGCCCCCUUUUCAAUGUUACAAGGAAGGUUCAUGGUCACAUCAAAAGACAACAUAUGCAUUGAUUCGGGGUCCGGGGGGUGAUAUAGUUUGUAUGGAAAUACUUACCAACAAUAUUGCUAUGUUUUCUUAGGCUGUCUUUUGACUCCCGUUGUAGGUUUUUGUGGUAUUAUACUACUUGUUAACCAUUUUUCAGAAGUCAUUUUUGGCAUUUUUUUAUGUGGUAGUUAGUUAUUACAAUUAUAAAGCUCUUAAUUCUACGACAAGUUUUGUAUGAUAACGUCAAAUUAUAGAUAUUCUUUCUUGGACGCUUCACAUUUGACAAAUAGUCCCUUCCUAAGUAAUCCAGUAUUCUCUAUCAAUCUUGUUAGCUNCUUGAAACAAAACAAAAAUGUAAAGAGCUUUCAAAUUGAUAUCAAUCAUUAGUAUCUACCAAACUAUCACAAAUCCAGCGUUCUGAUUGGCUACUGAACUAUGGUAUAUUCAUGAUAUACCGUGUUCGCAUCAAAUGAAGCGAAAUUAGAAAGAAUGUCUAGAAAAGUUGCUGUUAUUUUUUCAUGCUUUUUUGUCAGACUUGUCCAUCCGACCUCAUGGUCUGAUUGCUGAAUACCAUUUCCUUAGAAAGAAAUAUUUAGGCAAAGUUUUAUUUUCGUUGUUUGGGAGCAGCAUUCGUGUUGCUAUUGUCUGCUGAUGGCAGGGUCUUGUCGUUUGUAGUUUCUUGGAAGUCUGUCGUAGGUGGUGGUAGAGAGGUCGAAACAUUCUGAUUGGGUAAUCUUGCUGUACCCUCUUAGUGUCGGGUGCUUCUAUAAUACCGUGUUGCACUCAUUCUGUAUGUUUGGUGGUUGGAACACAAUUAGUGACUUGUGAUAGUUUUGCAUUCCUUGUUCUGUUCUGUUCUGUUCUUGUAGAGAAACGUUGCUGUGUCGUGGUUUUAUUGACGCUGAACAUUGAGAUGUUUUUCCAUGUUCUAAGGAUCUCGUUUGCGUACGUCUUUUGUUUGAUGCACUGGACUAUGGUUGUUGUUGUUAUCACGUGUCAUUUACCUGUUGUGUUGUUUCUUGUAGAAGGGUUUUUAUAGUUCAAGAGAUUAGUUAAGUUAGAUUACUCAAAUAUUAUAAGAAUAUUCUAAAUUCAGGGAUAGAAUACGGUGUAUAGUAGCAAUCAAGUUUUUGUUAAAUCCUUUAGGAUUACAGUGGGGGAUCCAUCUGUUGAGUGCAAGGGGUACGCAAUUCCUCUUGAGAUUUUGUAACCCUUUCUUUGUCUCUUUUGUGACCAUUAUUUUGCAGUGCACCCCUUCACCAGUUGAUCUGUAACCCCUCCCUAUCGAAAAUCCUGGAUCCGACACACUGGAGGAGCGAUCACUUAAUAAAUCAAAACGCUAUAUACAGACGAUAGGCUAGUAUUACUAUAUGAUUAUUCUACAACUCUUUUUCGGUUAAUUUUAUAAUUCUACUUAGUAUACACCAAACUAUUGGCUAUCAUUUUUUAGAAAUACUGAUAGCUUUGACAAUAAAGGACUUAGAAAAUUUCAUCUUGAAGUAAUGGAUCUAGUUUUAAACUAAGAUACUCAGUCCUUUACGCACACAAAAACCCGCAGCACUGGAAAAAAUCGCGCGCUAUAAAGGUUGUAAAUUUGAUGUAUAUAUGAUGUAAGUGUCCAAAAUGAUGUAAAUUUGAUGUAAAUGAUUUCCAUCAAAUUUACAUCAUUUUGGACACUUACAUCAUAUUUCCAUCAAAUUUACAUCCUUUAUGGUGCGCGAUUUUUUCCAGUGCAGUUUAUUGAGAAAACUAUUUUCGUCUUGGCUAUCACAAAUCCUGCAUUCUGAUUGGCUACUGAACUAUGAUCUAUUCAUGUUAUACCAUACCAAAUAGCUUGGUGAAUACCAAAACAACGGCCGAAUGGAAUAUCAACUCUUAGUUAACGCCAGACCGAGUGAUCUAAUUGUUAAACAUAUUAAGGUAUGAUUUAAUAAUAAAUGGUACUAUUUCAUUCAGCAUGAAA